UACGGAGGGGGCUAGCGUUGUUCGGAAUUACUGGGCGUAAAGCGCACGUAGGCGGCUUUGUAAGUUAGAGGUGAAAGCCCAGGGCUCAACCCUGGAAUUGCCUUUAAGACUGCAUCGCUUGAACAUCGGAGAGGUAAGUGGAAUUCCGAGUGUAGAGGUGAAAUUCGUAGAUAUUCGGAAGAACGCCAGUGGCGAAGGCGACUUACUGGACGAUUGUUGACGCUGAGGUGCGAAAGCGUGGGGAGCAAACAGG
rnacentral:rRNA from 1 species